rnacentral:lncRNA from 1 species
GUUAGGCCUAAACAUCAAAAUCACACAAUGACCGAAAAAACAGCUACAACGCAUUGUGGUCAGAUCCAAACGACCAAACUUGGAUGAUGAACAUUAUUUCGUUUCGUAGUCAUCGUGAGGCAAUCAUGUUGGCGUUGUGGUCAACACCACCAACACCAAUAUGCGUUUUGAGCCUUUUGAAACGACCACAAACUGUUCUGAAACAUAUCAGGAUACGUGCUUGUAGUAGUAUGCUACGGAAAGCAUUAGGGCUCUCUUCCGAGUCCCAACAAAGUUUCAUCAUGUGCCACUGCAUAAAUUAUUAUAACAACUGCAAGUUUCAUUGUUAAAAAGUUCUGUGCGCGUUGUCAAAAAUGACAUAGUAAUAAUGCGUGUAGGAAUAAAUGAAUAGAAUCUAUAGACCUAUCACUAAGAAUAAACAGAAAAAAUGU